UUGAACGCUGGCGGAAUGCUUUACACAUGCAAGUCGGGCGGCAGCGCGGGGGCAACCCUGGCGGCGAGCGGCGAACGGGUGAGUAACAUAUCGGAACGUACCCAGACGUGGGGGACAACUAGUCGAAAGACUAGCUAAUACCGCAUACGUCCUGAGGGAGAAAGCGGGGGAUCGCAAGACCUCGCGCGUUUGGAGCGGCCGAUAUCUGAUUAGCUAGAUGGUGGGGUAAAGGCCCACCAUGGCGACGAUCAGUAGCUGGUCUGAGAGGAUGAUCAGCCACACUGGAACUGAGACACGGUCCAGACUCCUACGGGAGGCAGCAGUGGGGAAUUUUGGACAAUGGGGGAAACCCUGAUCCAGCCAUUCCGCGUGAGUGAAGAAGGCCUUCGGGUUGUAAAGCUCUUUCGGCAGGAACGAAAAGGUUAGGGUGAAUAAUCCUGAUUGAUGACGGUACCUGAAGAAGAAGCACCGGCUAACUACGU
rnacentral:rRNA from 1 species